GGGGCGAUAAGAGACUGAACGAACUCGCGGCGACUUUUGAUGACGCCACACCGGGUGUAUCGCUGUUUCCGGUGUGCUGAUCUCGGUGUUUUUUGUUUGUUUAGAUUGUUUACGGUUAGCGACCAGCGGGAUGAAAGGAUGGACGCUGAAAGAUAAAGGGAAGCAAAGAUCUCGGGAAGAAAGUGUUGCUGGCCCGGACUCACACACCUAUGUCACGUGCUUUAGCUCCCCGUGCAUCUGCUUGGCGGGACUGGCGAGUGGAGGAGGUACAUCAUUCAACUCUGCCACCAUGAAUUUGAUUGACUUAGAUUCCUACAACAUGUGAGAAGAUAGAGAAUUGUUCCUGUGCAGGACUAGCUGAUUUCACGUCAUACAUGUUUCAUCUGUGCUGUUGCAAAUGAAAGAAUUUAUUUUCUUGGGUAUGGCAGGGAGGCAUCAGGAAGUCUUGUGAGCAGACAUAUAUUUGGGAGAACAAAACUGGAAGGUUCUUGAGGGUCUCACUAGCAUUUAGAAAAAGAAGCAAACAACUGCUGGGUUUGGAGACUGGAAAAAACAAGUUCAGAGGAAAGAGCAUCUCCCACUAUCAAGUUCAGAGGAAAGAACAUCUCACACUAUCGAGCUACCUGCAAGCUGAAAAGAGCUCCAAGGUUACUUGCAGUCUUUGUGAACAUCACCCAUGCUGAGCUACAAAAUGUUUCCAGUUAUAUAUCAUUACCUCCAGCAAUUUUCCAGCACCAGUGGUGUUCUGGGGCUUGGAUUCUUUUGCACUGUAAAAGACAGAUAAGAAUCUUUACAUAGGGGGAGUCCCAGCUGUUAGCUCAAGGUAAGAGUGGCUAGUGAAUGUCCUGUGAAUUCCUUAAGAGGGAAGAAGGUUAAUUAAGAGAUUGAAUCAUCAGGGAAUUCUAGAAAGAGAGAUUAGUGUGCUGUGCUACAUUUUUAAGUGGUCAGGUAAAAAGCUAAAAGUUUUUAUUUAGUAAAAAUCACGAGUAAGGCAACGAUUGUCUCUUAACUCAGCAGUCACUUUUCUCCCAGCGAGCAUAGGGAGCAUGGGAUAACCAAACAACCUAGUAAACAACAGGAAUGCUGGCAAUCAGCUUUUGGUACCUGUCUGCACAUUUUGUUAUGGUUUCCUGCUAGGAGAAGCUUCUUAGCACCAAUUGCUUAAGGCUGUUAAGUAUAAGUUUAAUUUGCCCAAGAAAUGGAACUUGGCCCUUCCAAAGCUCUGGCCUCAGUGGCAGCACAGGCCUUCAGGAAAGAUUACUUUUCCCCGAGCAAAUGGGCUGAUUACAUUUGUCAUUAUCUUCUCAGGGGAAACAGGAAGGAACAGUAAGUCUCUGAGCUAAAGAUCUUGGGUAAUAAAACAAGAAGUUUGAGAAUCUGUUAGUGCAGUGUUAGUUUAGGUUAUUCAUCUCUAUCUGCCAGUGAGGUGAAGCUAGGGCAUGCUUAUUUUUUCUAUCCAUCUAGGCAGCUAUGAAUCAAAAGCUUUGGGUGUGUAGUAAUUCUAUGUCCUUGGAUAUCUGGAAAUGUCUUGGAUGGGAUGCUUUUGCUUGGGCCCUAAACACUGACCAAAUGCCUGUCAAUAAGGAUAAUUGCAGGAAGGCAGAUCUCUGCAAUUAGACAGGAAGGGGGAAUAAGGACCUGAUAGUGGGAAACAGGUCUCACACAUAGCUAAGGAAUGUAAUCAGUAAACUAAGACCUGCUAUUGGAAAACAGGUUUCACACAUAGCUAGGGAGUGUAAUCAGUAAACUCCAAAUGCAUGGGAGUAAUUGUUCCCAGUAAAUGAUCAGGUAGUGCCUAACUGUGGGAACUAAAUCCCAAGUUUGUUGCAAAAUGGAAUAAGCUACAGGAAGAAUCUACAGCAAGAAACAGCCGCUUUCAUUCAUAAGACUGCAACACCAAAUACGACCUUCGUAUUUGUUUAAAAAUUUCCACGCAGAGGCCCUGGCUUUAGUGGAUCAUCUCAGGAAAUGAUGGCUGUAUAACUACUGUGUGAUCUUGUGGCUUAUAGCAACUAUGAUAGGAAUUGUGUUUUAUUAUUCCCAUUUACAUCCUUAUGCUUGUCAUUUCAUAUCAAAUAGGGAUAAUUAGAGCACAAAGAGUAAGAAUAAAUAUGUUAUUUAUCAUUUGGAUGUCAAUUCUUUUGUUCUACCCAGACCCCAAUCUUGGUAAACAAGGAGAGUGACCUCAAGGACUGACCCCUGGCAUUUUCUACUUAACAGCAGUGAGCAUCUGUGACAGGUGGAAGCAUCAGUUCUUGGGUACCUAGAACACUAACCCUACAAGUGCUACAGUUCUGAUGUGAUAAAAAAAGGUGGCAUUUUUGUUUCCAGCUGGCAUGAAAGCAUUCAAAUAAGCAUAUGUAUCGGAUUCCUCAGUCUUUAAAAAAAAUAAAUAGGUUUGUGGUCCUCACUGGCCUUCCUCAGAAUCUAUUGCAGUUCUUUGGAGGCCCAGCAAAUUGGUAUUCCUUAACUUGUAACUGAGGCCCAGGUUACAGUUUUUGAUUCAGGGUCUGAUGCCUUUGGUCACAAGUUUGUUUGCUUAUCUUCCUCCCUUCCUCCCUUCCUUCCCUCCUUCC